GUCCACGCUGUAAACGAUGGAUGCUAGCCGUUGGCGGGUUUACUCGUCAGUGGCGCAGCUAACGCUUUAAGCAUCCCGCCUGGGGAGUACGGUCGCAAGAUUAAAACUCAAAGGAAUUGACGGGGGCCCGCACAAGCGGUGGAGCAUGUGGUUCAAUUCGACGCAACGCGAAGAACCUUACCAGCCCUUGACAUGUCCCGUAUGUGUUUCAGAGAUGAGACCCUUCAGUUCGGCUGGCGGGAACACAGGUGCUGCAUGGCUGUCGU
rnacentral:rRNA from 1 species